ensembl:snoRNA small nucleolar RNA U3
AAGACUAUACUUUCAGGGAUCAUUUCUAUAGUUUGUAACUAGAGAAGUGUACUCGAAAGUGAUUGGCCUCGGAAACCACGAGGAGGAGUCAAAGUGUUCUCUUCUGAGCGCGAAGCGAGCAGGCAGUGUUGCAUUUUGCAGCUGCUGCCUGCUAUUGAUGACCGUUCCGCCUCCUUUUUAUUAAGGAGGUUGGAGGGAGAGAACACAGACUGAGUGGUU